rnacentral:rRNA from 1 species
CUUGUGAUCUACCCUUGGGCAGGUUGAAGGUGCGGUAACACGUACUGGAGGACCGAACCGAUAAACGUUGAAAAGUUUCCGGAUGACCUGAGGGUAGGGGUGAAAGGCCAAUCAAACUGGGAAAUAGCUCGUACUCCCCGAAAUGUUUUUAGGAACAGCGUCGGCAUAUGAGUCUAGCAGAGGUAGAGCUACCGAUUGGGUGCGGGGGAGUCAAAUCCUACCAAAUCCAGACGAACUCCGAAUGCUGCUAGAUAUGGCCGGCAGUGAGGCUUUGGGUGCUAAGGUCCAAGGCCGAGAGGGAAAGAACCCAGACCAUCAGCUAAGGUCCCCAAAUCCGUUCUAAGUUGAACUAACGAGGUCCGGUUGCCCAGACAGCUAGGAUGUUGGCUUGGAAGCAGCCAUUCAUUUAAAGAGUGCGUAACAGCUCACUAGUCGAGCGGCCGGGCGUGGAUAAUAAACGGGCAUCAAGAACGGUACCGAAGCUAUGGAUUGCAGAUGAAUCUGCACUAACAGGAUUAGAUACCCUGGUAGUCCACGCCCUAAACGAUGAUGACUCGAUGUUUGCGAUAUACAGUAAGCGUCCAAGCGAAAGCGUUAAGUCAUCCACCUGGGGAGUACGCCCGCAAGGGUGAAACUCAAAGGAAUUGACGGGGGCCCGCACAAGCGGAGGAGCAUGUGGUUUAAUUCGAUGAUACGCGAGGAACCUUACCCGGGCUUGAAAGUUACUGAAGCAUCCAGAGACGGAUGCGUCCUUCGGGACAGGAAACAAGGUGCUGCAUGGCUGUCGUCAGCUCGUGUCGUGAGAUGUUGGGUUAAGUCCCGCAACGAGCGCAACCCCUAUGUUUAGUUGCCAGCACGUAAAGGUGGGGACUCUAAACAGACUGCCUGUGCAAACAGAGAGGAAGGCGGGGACGACGUCAAGUCAUCAUGGCCCUUACGUCCGGGGCUACACACGUGCUACAAUGGAUGGUACAGCGGGCAGCUACACAGCAAUGUGAUGCCAAUCUCGAAAAGCCAUUCACAGUUCGGAUCGGGGUCUGCAACUCGACCCCGUGAAGUUGGAUUCGCUAGUAAUCGCGUAUCAGCAAUGACGCGGUGAAUACGUUCCCGGGCCUUGUACACACCGCCCGUCAAGCCAUGAAAGCUGGGGGUACCUAAAGCAUGUAACCGCAAGGAGCGUGUCAGGGUAAAACCGGUAAUUGGGGCUAAGUCGUAACAAGGUAGCCGUACCGGAAGGUGCGGCUG